AGUGAACGCUGGCGGUAGGCCUAACACAUGCAAGUCGAACGGCAGCACAGUAAGAGCUUGCUCUUACGGGUGGCGAGUGGCGGACGGGUGAGGAAUACAUCGGAAUCUACUUUUUCGUGGGGGAUAACGUAGGGAAACUUACGCUAAUACCGCAUACGACCUACGGGUGAAAGCAGGGGAUCUUCGGACCUUGCGCGAUUGAAUGAGCCGAUGUCGGAUUAGCUAGUUGGCGGGGUAAAGGCCCACCAAGGCGACGAUCCGUAGCUGGUCUGAGAGGAUGAUCAGCCACACUGGAACUGAGACACGGUCCAGACUCCUACGGGAGGCAGCAGUGGGGAAUAUUGGACAAUGGGCGCAAGCCUGAUCCAGCCAUACCGCGUGGGUGAAGAAGGCCUUCGGGUUGUAAAGUGCUUUUGUUGGGAAAGAAAAGCAGCAGGUUAAUACCCCGCUGUUCUGACGGUACCCAAAGAAUAAGCACCGGCUAACUUCGUG
rnacentral:rRNA from 1 species